UUUUCCUUUUUUUUUUUUUUUUUUUCUUUUCGAAGCACAAACAAUGGAGCUAAAAGGUUGGGUAUCAGGCCGAUAAUCAUGAAUGACGUGUCGUUAUUACACACCACACAUUCAUUAUCUCCCACUCCAGCCAUGUCACAGGCGGCUGGAGGAGGGCAGAUAACGGGGUGCCUUCAUGCAGAUGGCUUAUUAUCAGGAUGUUCCAGGAGGGGCUUUAAGACAGUUAGUGAUGCUGUUUGCCAGUUAAAGAUUAGAGACCCCAGAGAAUAAUUAACAAUCCCAAAACCCAGUUUUUCUGCUGGAUUCUUCAGCUUUCUCCCCCCUCCCCCAUUCUCUUUAAUCUAUUCACUCUAGCAGGUGUAAUAAAGUGAUAAGGACAGGCUCCGGGGAUGUUUGUUUGGCUACUACGGGUGUAUAAACCAACAAUAGAUGGUAUUUUUCUCCUGGCUUUCAGUGGCUUGAAUCGAGACCAAAAACUUUGCAGCCCCCUUGCCCACACACAGCCACCCCUCCAUGCCAUGCUCCUGGCUUCUACCUGGGUGGCUGGGCUCCUUCCCCACCCAAAGAACCACAGGGGUGGGACAGGCUCCCUUUUUUCCUCUGGAGAUCCAAAUCACACCUCCUGUGUGUCAAGGUGCCCAAUUCCAGGAUGUAAACCCCAGGUUUGCUCAGGUGGAGGGAUAGAGCUGGUGCUGCUUCCAGCAGCAUUUUACCUGAAUACAGCAAAUCUGUAAUUAAGCUAUGUUGGGAUAAUUUAUAUCAUAGGUGUCCACCUGCCCAAACUGCUCCUGGAACAGAAACAUCUCAAACCUUCAGAGCUAAAGAGCCUCAGGAGAGAUCAGGGAAGCAGCAAAGGCGGCUUUCAACAAGGUAUUUCAUUAUCUGGGGCUCCAAGAGAUGGACUGCACCCUCCUAGGUCACAAAGAAAAGUCAUGAUACACCUGCUAACAAACUGGGGAUGCAAAAAAACCCCACCCUGAAUAUCUUCUGCCCCAAAGGAGACUACCCUGUCUGCAGCAGAACACAACCCUGGACAUCUUCCUGAAGCCCAAGGCUUCAGAGAUAAUGGCAUUAAGGAGUGGGGGGUAGGAUGAGAACUCGUGGUAUCCUUACCUUUCACUGGUGGGCUUGGGGAGGCUUGUGAAGGACCUUCAUCCCCCUGUGCUGUGUGGAGAGAGGUGUUGGGGAGGAUUUGGCCCUCAGGCGAGUUGGCUUUGGGCCCUUCAGAGAGGUCACUGAGGUGGGAGGUGCCUCGCACCCGGGGGUCUCAGGUACAGCCCGGACUCUGGAGGACAUUCCCCAGCUCAUGGUGCAGUGUGGAAGGCACAAGCACUGGCACUCCAGAAGUUGUCUUCCCAAUCACGCUCAUCCUGCCAGGGAGGGAUGAGACAGCAUUGUGCUUUAAAGAGCAUCCCGACCCUAUCAGCAAGAGAUGAGAUAUCCUAAUUACGGCAGUACAGACGAGGAUCUGGGCUGUAUCAGCCAGUACAGAAAGGUAAACAAGAAAUAUAACAAUGGACCCUUAACACUCAUUAGCUGUGUCAGAUAAUACCUCACUUUUCUCCCUUUGGGGCUUAAAAUCUAAUUAAGAUUUUCCAACAAUAAAUUUCAUUUACGCUCGCUCCCUUUUGUUCUUUUUAGGAUCACACCGAGAAGCAUCUGCAAGUGACUGCACAGCUUGCAGGAAGGCAGCUUCAGCCAGCCUCGGCUUGUGCUUCACAGGCAAGAGAAACUGAGGCAGGACAGCACCCUGGACAGUGCAGAGAACCUGUUGACCACGAAGGCGAUGGCCACCAGGACUAGGAACACAACCACUGCGAUGACACCCUGUGACCACGGCUGGAGGCUGCCCCGGGCUGCAGGGAGAGAAGAGGACACGGGUUAGAAAUUCGUCCUCAGGCUUUAUCUGCCAAGCUCCUCCCAUCCAGCUUCAGCAAGGUCCAGAUGAGAGCUUGAUCCUGCAAAUCGGAGCAGAACAUGUUGCUGUCGAUUCAGGCAGGCUUACCUGGUGAUAGCAAUGAAAUAAAAUACAAUUAACAGCGUU